rfam:Aedes albopictus isolate Foshan contig77070, whole genome shotgun sequence.
CAAACGGUUCUUUUCAGGACCAUCAAAAAUUAUUACUCAAGAGCUGU